rnacentral:rRNA from 1 species
UACGAAGGGGGCUAGCGUUGCUCGGAAUCACUGGGCGUAAAGCGCACGUAGGCGGAUCUUUUAAGUCGGGGGGUGAAAUCCUGGAGCUCAACUCCAGAACUGCCUCGAUACUGGAAGCACUGAGUCCGGGAGAGGUGAGUGGAACUGCGAGUGUAGAGGUGAAAUUCGUAGAUAUUCGCAAGAACACCAGUGGCGAAAGGCGGCUCACUGGCCCGGGUACUGACGCUGAGGUGCGAAAGCGUGGGGAGCAAACAGGAUUGAGA